AGAGUUUGAUUCUGGCUCAGAUUGAACGCUGGCGGCAUGCCUUACACAUGCAAGUCGAACGGUAACAGGUCUUCGGAUGCUGACGAGUGGCGAACGGGUGAGUAAUACAUCGGAACGUGCCCGAUCGUGGGGGAUAACGGAGCGAAAGCUUUGCUAAUACCGCAUACGAUCUACGGAUGAAAGCAGGGGACCGCAAGGCCUUGCGCUUUCGGAGCGGCCGAUGUCGGAUUAGCUAGUUGGUGGGGUAAAGGCCUACCAAGGCGACGAUCCGUAGCGGGUCUGAGAGGAUGAUCCGCCACGCUGGGACUGAGACACGGCCCAGACUCCUACGGGAGGCAGCAGUGGGGAAUUUUGGACAAUGGGCGCAAGCCUGAUCCAGCCAUGCCGCGUGAGUGAAGAAGGCCUUCGGGUUGUAAAGCUCUUUCGGCGGGGAAGAAAUGGCAACGGCUAAUAUCCGUUGUUGAUGACGGUACCCGCAUAAGAAGCACCGGCUAACUACGUGCCAGCAGCCGCGGUAAU
rnacentral:rRNA from 1 species